ACUUUCAGCAACGGAUCNCNNGGCUCNCGCAUCGAUGAAGAACGCAGCGAAAUGCGAUAAGUAAUGUGAAUUGCAGAAUUCAGUGAAUCAUCGAAUCUUUGAACGCACCUUGCGCUCCUUGGUAUUCCGAGGAGCAUGCCUGUUNGAGUGUCAU
rnacentral:rRNA from 1 species